GUGAGCAUAGUUUAAAUAAAACAUUAGAUUGUGAUUCUAAAAAUAGAAGUUUAAAUCUUCUUGCUGACC
rnacentral:tRNA from 1 species